GGCACAGUGGUGUAGGGGUUAGCACGAUUGCCUUGUACCCCAGGGGUUGGGGGUUCAAUUCCUGCCUGUGCCC